UGGGAAGUCGCCUAAUUGGCAUGGCACCGCUCUUUGAAAGCGGAACAAUGCAGGUUCAAACCCUGCCUUCCCAG
rnacentral:tRNA from 1 species